GUUUUAAUAAUUUAAGAAAAAUAAUAAUUUUGUAAAUUAAAAAUGGAAAUUUUAAUCCUUAAAACA
rnacentral:tRNA from 1 species